GGGCUCUUCCUUCGCGGGCGUCCCCUCAGCAGAGCCGCCUCGUAGGUCUCCCAUUGCCAUUCUCCUGUGAGGAGUCUUCCUCACCCGAGCUGCCUCGUGAAUCACCGCUGAGGGAUCUGUCCUCGCCAGUCUCCCCUCGCUACUGGAAGGACUCAGCAAGGGACGAGGUGCCUAAAUCCUGCCACAGCCUGAAGAUAAUGUCCCAGUUUAUGUCCCUCCUGUCAUGAAAUGAGGUUACUAAUCCUGCCUUGCCUUGAUGAAAACACUUUGUAAAGACAGGCAAUGAAUUGAGACAGUUACCUGGAUGGUGCGCUCUGAUGUAGUGGAGCCGGUUAGCAUGGAAAGAAGACGUCACUGCAUCUGCUCUACAUUAAAGCUGUCCCACUCGGCAGCAUCACACUGAGAAGCGGGACAAGCAGUCAACCCCCCACAAAGGUCCUUCCUCGCUCAUUACCUGUCAUUAAGAGAAAGACUCAUCGGAGUUACAGUUUGACAGAGUUCCCUUCAACCACCAUCAGAGAACACUAUGCUAAGUGCAGAUUUAUUACCUGCAUAAUGCAGAUAAAAUGAGAUUUUAUGGCCCUGUAGUCCUGGAAGCAUAAAGCAAUAAUGGAAGCUAUCUAGUCAAGUAGGGAAUGCAUCCUAGGAAGAAAGGGAGAUGCAUGGGAGGUUAAUAGCGUUCCUCAGGCACUGCCAGACAUCUUCUCACCAAUAUGGCUGGACACAAGCCACUAAGUGUUUAGUUUAAUGCAUCAUCUAAGAUAAGUCUCACCAUCUGUUUGCUAGAUGCUUCUGCUUAUUUCCCAAAUAAAAUUCCUCAACAGUGUAAUGGACAAAACUGGACUUUUUUUUUUCUAAAUAGGAAUCAGCUCAAUAGCUGAGAAAUGAGCAAGCACCAAGAAAGACCUACUAACCCCAAACUGUGCAUGAAAUCCCAGAAGAGUGAUGUCUAAGGAAGAAAGCACUCACCAUCACAACACUCCCAGCCUCCAUGGUUACGAGCUCAGGCACUGAAGUGAGCAUGAAUCCCCAGCCCUGCUGCCACCAGCAAGCACUGCAGCUGCAACACAACCUCCAGUUAGCAGACCCGACACUGGCUCUGGGGCAUCUGCCUCCACUCUCUCCAUCAGCGACCUCCAUCAGCUCACACAGAUGAACAGUCCUGGAUCAGUUGGCUAUGGGCUGCAGAAAGGUGGUGAAACCUAUGCCAUCUUCUCAGUGUAACACAGUGCAACACCAGAGGCACUCUGCCACACAGCCUCAGGGCUGUCAGCUGCAAGGUCUUGCUCAGGUCCAUCCAGAUGCGAAUUCCUCAGGUAAGCAUGAGGAGAUUGGAGAUGUAUGCAAAUAGACAUGCUGCCCCCUCACACCACAAGGCACAGCUCUAAUCAGGCUACAGAGAUACAUCACAAGCAUUGUGACAGGAUCAGCCUUCCAGAGCGAGACUUUCUCUCAGAGUGAGAGCUGUAACAGAUGGACUCAUGAGACAAAUUCCACUGUUUUUUUGUUGUGUGUUUUUGCAAGGUUUUUUUUUUUUUUUUUAAGAUUUUAUUAAUAAUCCAUUAGUUAAGGAAUAUAAGGACAAUGUUUUCUUACACUUUAGCACUAAAGAGUAUUUGUGGAGUAAGAACAGUCUCUGAAGAAAGAAAGUUAUAAUUAAGUACAGCAUGGAACCAAAUACAGACACAAUCUUCAAACAAGAUCAAGUUCUGGUUACACAUCCUUAUGCACUGUGUAGAAAGUUAAACAAAAUUUCAUUUUAAAAUAUUAGCAUGGGAACAUGAUAACAGAAUGAGGUGGUAGAUUUCUGCUGGACUAAACACCCCUUUUCUAACAAGGGUACCGAUUAGAAAAGACACAAUGACCCCUUCAAAACACCUAUUUCUAAUGAGAUCAAAAACAUACACAGCGAUCCACUAAAAUGGCUGUUUUCUUAUACGGUGUUUCAUGGGCUGAUCUCAGGAUUAUUAGCUAGUAACAUAACAAAUGCUCAAAGCCUAGGUUAUAAGUUAGCUCAUUUUAACUAUUUAAACCAGAACCUUACUGUCUGUUAAGUAAGAAAGCAAAUCAAAAAGUGGAGAUAUUCAGCUCAGUUGUGUAUUUCAUCUAACAAGGAUCUAAAAGAAGAAAAGGAGUAAGAAUUGUGACUCUCACAGCAGCAUGGGAAAUAUACAGUUGUGUAGCCAAACGGUAACAUUAAUACUACAGAAUUAUGCCAGUGAGACAAAUUUGACAUUUUAACAAAGCAAAACAAUACACACUGGCAAAAAGGUGAAUAGCAAUAGUCUUUAGUGUUACUGAAAGGAAGCAAAGGGGGAAGGGAGCCUGAUGAUUAGGAGCAUAUAUUAAGUAUGGUGGGUAAUUAAAGGUAUCAACAGUUUGAGUGUCUGUGAGAAAUUUGCAAGAAAGCUACUUAUUUCAUGAUAAAAAAAUAUAUGCACUGGUUGUUUCAAGCGU
rnacentral:lncRNA from 7 species